UGUGGCUUGACAGGCAAUUAAGAAGCGAAUGAAGAUAGAGAUGUCAUUGAUUAUCCAUAGAGCUACAACACUUGUUACUAAAAGGAUUGGACAACCUGGAGAAGUCAUACUUCAACAGAAUCACCCUCAUUACCUUUUGGAAUUGUUAGAAGUGGUGUUCGACUUGUUUAGGGCCGUGGCUCAUGCACAUGAUACAAUUCUAUCUGCAAUCGACCGA